UGGGGUGUAGCUCAGUGGUAGAGUAUUUGUUUAACAUGCAAGGCUCUGGGUUGGAUUCCCAACCUCAA
rnacentral:tRNA from 1 species